UACGUAGGGCGCAAGCGUUGUCCGGAAUUAUUGGGCGUAAAGAGCUCGUAGGCGGUUUGUCGCGUCUGCCGUGAAAACCCGAGGCUUAACCUCGUGGCUUGCGGUGGAUACGGGCAGACUAGAGGUAGGUAGGGGAGAACGGAAUUCCCGGUGUAGCGGUGAAAUGCGCAGAUAUCGGGAGGAACACCGGUGGCGAAGGCGGUUCUCUGGGCCUUACCUGACGCUGAGGAGCGAAAGCGUGGGGAGCAAACAGG
rnacentral:rRNA from 1 species